rnacentral:sRNA from 2 species
AGCCCCUGUCGUUCCACCGCGGCGAAGGCCGGGGUCCAGUUGCGACCGGCUCGAAGCUGGACCCCGGCCUUCGCCGGGGUGGAGAAUGAUAUUUUGC